AGUUUGUCAUAAAUCGUGCUAACAAAAUGAAAUUGAAUUUCCUGAUUGUUCUAAUAAUAAGCGCAUUCUUCGGCGUCAUAAUGGCUCUUCCACAACCAAGUGGUACACCACCUAGCGGUCCUCCACCAAAUGGACCACGUCCUAGCGGUCCACCACCAAACGGCCGUAAGUAGAUGACGCGGUCCCCCACCAACCAAUAGCACCAGCUCGGGCUAGUUGAAUCGUCUAACUACAUACUAACAAAGCCUUGGACAACGGAUAAACCUCUAUGAAUCAGUUUUGGUCUUAACUCUACAGAUCUACAAUUUUAUAGCAAAUAACUCACUUCUGUUUUUUUAACAAAUUUCAAAUUAAAAUGCAUUAAAAAAUUACAAAAA